rnacentral:rRNA from 1 species
GAUGAACGCUGGCGGCGUGCCUAAUACAUGCAAGUCGAGCGAACGGACGAGAAGCUUGCUUCUCUGAUGUUAGCGGCGGACGGGUGAGUAACACGUGGAUAACCUACCUAUAAGACUGGGAUAACUUCGGGAAACCGGAGCUAAUACCGGCUGAUAUUUUGAACCGCAUGGUUCAAAAGUGAAAGACGGUCUUGCUGUCACUUAUAGCUGGAUCCGCGCUGCAUUAGCUAGUUGGUAAGGUAACGGCUUACCAAGGCAACGAUGCAUAGCCGACCUGAGAGGGUGAUCGGCCACACUGGAACUGAGACACGGUCCAGACUCCUACGGGAGGCAGCAGUAGGGAAUCUUCCGCAAUGGGCGAAAGCCUGACGGAGCAACGCCGCGUGAGUGAUGAAGGUCUUCGGAUCGUAAAACUCUGUUAUUAGGGAAGAACAUAUGUGUAAGUAACUGUGCACAUCUUGACGGUACCUAAUCAGAAAGCCACGGCUAACUACGUG